rnacentral:tRNA from 1 species
UUCUGGGUGGCCGAGAAAACUUAGGCUUUAGACUUUUAAUCUAAAAACGAUCACUUCGAUCCCCAGGAA